rnacentral:rRNA from 1 species
UACGUAGGGUGCGAGCGUUAAUCGGAAUUACUGGGCGUAAAGCGUGCGCAGGCGGUUCGUUAAGUCAGAUGUGAAAUCCCCGGGCUUAACCUGGGAACUGCAUUUGUGACUGGCGGGCUAGAGUAUGGCAGAGGGGGGUAGAAUUCCACGUGUAGCAGUGAAAUGCGUAGAGAUGUGGAGGAAUACCGAUGGCGAAGGCAGCCCCCUGGGCCAAUACUGACGCUCAUGCACGAAAGCGUGGGGAGCAAACAGG